rnacentral:rRNA from 1 species
GACGAACGCUGGCGGCGUGCUUAAUACAUGCAAGUCUUAGGGGUUAACUCCCUUCGGGAGUUGAUCACUGGCGCACGGGUGAGUAACACGUAAGUCAUCUGCCCUUGGGUCGGGCAUAACACCGGGAAACCGGUGCUAAUUCCCGAUUAUAUCGUAAGAUCAAAGCUUUCGAGCGCCCAACGGAUGAGCUUGCGUCUGAUUAGCUUGUUGGUAGGGUAAUGGCCUACCAAGGCGACGACAGUAGCCGGUCUGAGAGGAUGAUCGGCCACAUUGGGGACUGAGACACGGCCCAGACUCCUACGGGAGGCAGCAGUAAGGAAUAUUGCGCAAUGGACGAAAGUCUGACGCAGCAACGCCGCGUGCAGGAUGAAGG